GGGAAACGAGGCUCUCAGUACUGGGACGUUGCAUUUGCUGUUAAGCGCAGCCCAAUAAGAGGUUUUUCCUACUUUUGAGCUACCUCUUUUCAGUAAGGGGGAUUCUUCCAGUUGCCAGGGAGAAAUUGUGGCAACUGGAGUGAGGGAGUAGGAACAGGGCAAAUAAAA